UCUCUGUGGGUAUCAAGAAAAAUUUGCAUAUAACAACAUAUUGCUAACCAAUUUUUAAUUUUUAUUGUUAGCAAAAUGGAUGAUCUGAUCGAUGAAAAUCAAUUCAAUAAAGAUGAAAUUAAUAAACUAGUUAGGGAUGUUGUUGAAAAAAUUUUAGAGGGAGUCCUCUAUGAACACAAUAAAAUAAAGCAGUGGACAGAAUUGAUUUUGGACCAAUGUAUGGCUGCACUGUUCAAGGAACAAAAACAAUAUAAAUACAUUCUCGGUGUCAAGAUAAUGCAGAAAUGUGGAGCUGGUUUACAAUGCGCUUGCGCAUGUUAUUGGAAUAAUGAAACCGAUGACAUAAAAGUUGUUCGUUGGGAGAACAAGACAAUGGUUUGCAUUGUCACUGUUAUGGGUGCAAUUGUUUAGGAACUAAUGAGAAUUCAAAAGCAUAGCGAAAGGUUUCUAAAUAGUGG